rnacentral:sRNA from 1 species
AACUUUAUUUAUUUCCUUCCCUCUUUUUAAAAUAGAAUAUUCGUCGAUAGGCGCUAAUAAAUUAAUUUCCGUGCUAUAUUUACCCUGGCCGUAAUAACUACCACGCAAUCCAUUAAUUUAAUAUAUUUUCAUUUUUGGACUUUUUCGUAGCAAUGGUUGAAAUUUACGAAUUUUUAUUUUAACGGACAUGUCCAUACGAUAUAAUUAUCCUGUAUAAUUAGCCUUUGUGGCCGCCAAACCGAAUGGGGAGGGGUUGGCCAGGCGAAAUAGCCGUUAAUAUAUAAAUACAACUAUCCCUUUUUCCUUAUUUAAACUACCGGAUAAUAAAUAGCCUAUUAAUCCAAUAUGGUUAAUAAAAGUCCCUUUAUUUAAUUAAAAUUGUUUGGGCCGUUUUAAUUAAUAUUUUAUCGAAACGGUGGCAAACCACAGCGGAACGCGGGUGGUUUUAUAAUUGGCGAUACUGUCCCGUUGGAACAUAGGCUUUAGCCUAAACGAAAUAACGGAUAUAAAUAAUAAAAAAAUACAGGUUAAAGGGUUAAAAAAAUCAAUGCAAAUUUAUUAUUAAAUUAUAUAAUUACCAAUUAGUUCGAUUCCUGGCUGCGUUUUAAUUAACAAUUAUUAAGGGGGUCCGGUAUUUAAUAAUAUAAUUGGUUAUAACCGCAUAAUAUUAUAUAAUAAAAUAUACCUAAAUGCAUAGCUAAGGAUAUCCGGUAUAGUAUAAUAUGGUUUGGUUACCCUUUAUUAUAAUAUUACCACAUAUUUAAUCCGCCUCGUGUUUUUUUCUAUCAAAGGAUUAAAAUUUUUAUAUUCCAGUUAAAACCACGGGUAAUUUUGGUUUCCCGGUUUUUUCCCACACGUUUUUGCCAAUUUAUUUAUAUUUGACAAACCAAUAAAUAUAUUUAAAAAACCAUAUAUAUAUUACACGUAAAUAAUCGAUAUUUUGCCGUCUCCGCAAAAUUUGGAAAUAUCCGCCCGGAUAACCCAAUUUGGGGUCGAAUAUUGGCGUCGAGGAAUUAGGUAUUUGACAAAUCUGGCUUUUAUUUGCCCCCGUUUAAAAAAUCCAACCUCCGUUUAUAUUAUUAAUGGAAAAAUACAAAUAUAUCCCGUUUUUUUUAAUUUGCCAGAUCCGCCUUUUAAGGUUUUUUACCGGACGAACAAAUGACGAAUUGUCCGGCGAAUUGUUUUAUAUAUCCCUUAAUUGCGCGCCGCGUUUUACAACGUUUUCGUACGCGUGGGGUAACCCGGAACCCCGGAAAGCAAUUCGCUGCUAUAACCUUAUUGCUGAAAUUGGUCCCAAUUUGCACAAUGUUUUGCGGUAUUUUAAAAGGCCUAAUAACGAUAUUAUCCUUUGGGCGGAUACGCUGUGCAUCGACCAAAAAAAUAUACCAAAAUUUAACGAACAGGUUAAAAUAAUGGGCGAUAUUUACGCCUCGGCGAUUUCCACAAUUAUUUGGUUUGGAAAAAAGUCGGCCGAGGUUAAAAUGGCUUUUGGUUAGUUACGCAACUUUAACAAAACUAUAGAUUUAUAAGAAUCCAAUUAGUAGGCAUGGAAAUACAAUUUUAAAUUCAUCGAUAAAUAUUAUACCGAGGCGAUAUUACAAAAUGUUUUCGGUAAUUGCAAAUUAUUUGCCUUUAAAAACAUUUGGGUUUUGUUCAAUUAUCCGUAAUUUAUACGAAAAUGGGUUAUUUAGGAGCUCGUUAAAUCGCGCAUAUUAUUAUUAAUUAACGGCAGAAAUUGCAUCCCGUGGCCGUUUUUAUUAAUAUAAUUAAAAUUUAUUAAAAAAUGUACAAUUUAAUACGAGGAUUUCAAAUUAUUUUGCCCACGAUUUUUUAAGGUUAACUCCAAAAUUUUGGGAAUAUAUAAACUGCGAAUUACGUUUUUGUGGCGGAUUGCAAACCAAGAAACCCUUUUUUUGCUAUUUUUUUUAACGAGGACGCUGCAAUUUAAAUACCGCGACCCUCGCGAUUACGUAUUUGUUUUAAUAGGGAUCGCAUCGGACGCAAAACGUUUUUCCCCCGCUAAUUACGGGAAAAAAACUAAGGAUAUAUUCCGGCAAUUUGUUUAUAUUUGCGUGUCUAAUAUUAUAAACCUCAAACUGCUGUGGUUUUUUUUCUUUUUAAUACCUUUGGAAAAACGGUUGUAUUUUUAGGUAUUUAAUAUAAAAAAAGGUAUGGUUAAAUGCGACGGGGGCGUUCUGCCUACCCAGUUUUCCGUGCAGCAGAAAAGAAAUUAUAAUAUAGGUGGAAAAUCGUUUCCGGAACCAUAAUUAAACCGAAGUCGAAAUUUGUUUAAAAUGGUGGGCCGCAUCGUCGAUAAAAUUUAAUUUUUUGGGUCCGAUAAUAAAAAUUUUAUUAAUAUUUAAAUUAUCGAAGAUAUAAUAAAAAUAAGGAGCGAUUUUAGAAUUUUCGGGCAAAAUUUCCAAUUAUUGUUCCAACAAAAAUACCAAUGGUUGGAAAAGUGCAUCGCCAUCGCAGCAAAAAUUAUUAGCAGAAAUAAUACCGAGGAGGCGUUUAAAAACGUUUUUUUAAACGAUAAAAUGGUUAGCGAAAAAGCAUUUUAAAAUUUAGCGGUGGCGAGGCGAAAAUUUUCUAUUUGUAUGCGCCUAAUAAAAAAAAAAGCAUGUAAUAAUUAACUGUGGUUUUUGGCCGUUUUUAACCGUUUAAACCUUAAGUCCGGUUAUUUUUUGGAAAAUAUAAUAUCGGACAAAUUUCAGCGGCGAUUCGGUGGUACGGAGGGCAGGAAAAUAGGCUGGUUAUUACCGGUGGCCGAGGAAAAAGACUUUAUUUGUAUUUUUAACGGUAUGGAGCUCCCAUAUAUUAUCCGUCCAACGGGUAACGGCCGAUACCUUUUCGUUAAUAAUUGUAUAAUUAUGGGACUUAUAAUGGGAAAAGGGAUGCAGUUGCCCAAAACGGAAUCGCAGAUAAUAAUAUUUAAAUAACCAAUAUAAAGGUAAUAUUUUCGAUGGAAAAAUUUAUAAUAUUAUUAAUAUAUAAAAAUUGUUAUUUUCCUCUAUAUUGCGCCAGGGGGUUCCUACCAAAGGUCUUCCUAGAUUUUUAUCUGGUUAUUUAUUAAUUAGUUACAAUUUCCAAAAUCGUGGUGUUUGUACGGCCCUGCAAACGGGGCAGGGAUCGCCGGGUCGUGGAUGGGUACCGACCUGGUUAGCGUAUUCUGUUUUGGUUACCCUGACAAAAAAAUAAAUUAUGCGUUUCGGCAAUUUAAAAUACUUAAGGCCAAAAGCGAUCCCGCCGGCGAUAGAAUUGCAAGUCCGGCGGCCGACCGGAAUAACCGGGGCUAAUAAACCCUUAUAAUAACGAAAGCACUUUAAAAAGAUUAGCGGUAAUAAUUUCCAAGAUUUUUAAUGUUACCAAACAAUCUGGCGGUCCUGUUUAGGUUAAAUAUAACGUAAUAAAAAGCCAGUUUUAUUUAUUUAGGAUUAAUUUUGUUAAAAUGCUACCAAACGAUUUUUACGUUAAAUGGAAAUCGACGAUAAAAACGAAAGGUUUGGCACUUUUUAAAAGUCCGGGUAUAAUAUUUAAUGGUAAAAAUAUUAUAAAAAUUAACCCCGGGUACGCCCUGUUAGCCACCCCCGCCUAUUGGCCACCCAAAAUUCUAAGAACCAAAUUUCGUAUUUUUCAAAACAAUUUAAAUAUACAAUUAUUAACGCACAAUAAUAUAAUCGUUUUCAAACUUUUCCGGUUUAUUAACCUUUUAUUUAUUAUUUAAAAUUUCCAAACUAGCCAUAUUAUUUUCCUGCGAUUAAUUAAAUUUUUUUUUUACUAACCAAAUGCUCGUUUGGAUCCGGAAUAUAAGGAUUAGGCCACCAAAUUUACCCUCGGAAUCACUAUUCCAUUUACCAGACACGUUAUACCCAGGGCUCGCAAAAGGUCCACUAAUUCCGGAUUUAAACGCGUCUCUCCAGCGCGUCGUUAAUUGUAAUUUUUCUUUUUUCGUCAAUUUAAAAUUUUCGUUAAUAACGCCUAAUAUAUUAAAAUUCUCCAAUAUAUA